rnacentral:rRNA from 1 species
GACGAACGCUGGCGGCGUGCUUAACACAUGCAAGUAGAACGGAAAGGCCCGGCGCUUGCUCUUCUUUCGUGUGUCGAACAGGUGAGUAACACGUGAGUAACCUCUCCCUUACAUUGGGGUAUCAUUAUGAAAAAGGAUCUCUUAUCGCACAUAACCUCCUGCUGCAUAGUGCGUGUUGGUGAGAUUCGGCGGUUCGGCAUGGACACGCGGACCAUCGUCGUGUUGGUGGGGUAGUGGCGUACUAGCGCUUCGACGAGUAGCCGGCCUGAGAGGGUGACAGGCCACAGUGGGACUGGGAUAGGGGCCAGACUGCUACGGGAGGCAGCGGUGGGGAAUAGUGCACAAUGGGCGGAGGCCUGAUGCAACAACGCCGCGUGCGAGAUGACGGCCUUAAGGUUGGAAACCGCUUUCGCCUGUGACGAAGCGAGAGUGACGGUAAUGGGUAAAGAAGCAACGGCUAACUACGUG